ensembl:lncRNA
GCUCCCGGGCGCCGGCGGCCGCCGCCGAUGACGCACGCCGAGCUCCUGCGCAUGCGCACUUGGCUCCCUCCAGGGUUUCUGCGCCCAGUAGGAGCAGAAGGGGAGGGCCUGCCGGGGGCGCCUGCCGGGCGGGCUGCAAUUCGGAACCUCCCCAGCUCCGCAGCCCUACGGUUCCCCUAGGGUUCUGACGCGGUCGUGGGACGGCUGGGCGCCGGGAAGCGCUCUGCAGUCGCUGUCAAGUCCUCUCCGGCCCAGCAGCCAGGGCGGAACCUCAGGCUUUACAGACGACCGCUGCUCGUUUUGGGGACAUUGAGGGGCACAGAGGUGUUCAGUGGAGGGCUCGGGGAUGCGCUUGGGCUGGCAGACUCAGGGAGUCCGGUGGACAGACUCUGGCGUCUUUGAGUCUUCAAGAACUGUCAGCGCUGCAGAGGUUUGCCUCCGUCCAGGAGUCCGCCAGAGCGCACGCCUUGACGUUUGGCAGUGCCCUUGCAGACGGGAGUGGCAUUGCAUAUAGCCCCAGAAUGCCGUAAGGAGGUCUGGGAUAGUGCCGGGAGCAGGAGCUCCGCCCGUGGCAAAGGUCGUGAGGAAGGAGGCUCAGCAUACACAAAGGCGGGAUCGAGCCUCAGGAGUCCCCCUGGAAAUUCUCGAGCAUCUACCCCCCAAACCAGAGUCUGCCUACUUUCUGCUUUGUGCUUUCACCUACACCUCUGACUUUAUGGGGGGCUGUCCCCCACUACCUCUCUGAAAAAAGAGUUAACUUACAGCUCCAGUUAAUAAAAUUCCUGGGUGUGCUAGUGUUUCAACCUACAAACUCCUUUGGAAGUCCUCUAGCCUGCCUGAAUAGGUUUUUCCGGCCACAUGUGAUUGUUCAGAGCCUCCUAACUGUGAGAGGCAUGAGAUGUUCUAAACUGUCUAAAUACAGAUUCCUUUGAGCAGUUAAAAGAUUGAUUAGAAAUUGUAUUGGUGAAGGGUUUUUCACUUGUUGGGCCAAUGUUUGCUGCUAAGUUUCCAUAUCCCUUACUUGCUGUGUCCCUGGCAGUGUAUUGAUUAAUAUAAUUGGUGUAAGUAGUAGCUUUAAUGUUUGUAACCUUGGACCCUUGAGUUAAUUCUUUUUCUUGUUAUAGCCCACCACACCUUUGCCCUGUAGGAAUGCAACUUUAUCUAAUGCUUUUGGAGGGUCACUAAUCACCUUUAGAGAAAAAUAAGUUUUCUGAAGAAAGGGUCUUAAAAUGUUAACAGGCCUCCGGGCCAGAAGAUGAUGCAAAUCACCUAAACUUUUGCAUAUGAUAAGUUUGCAGGAAGAAAGCCUGGCUUACUGCAUGACUCUACCCCUUCCCCCAUUAUCCUCUAUGCAUAACUUAAGGUAUAAAAACUACUUUGGAAAAUAAAGUGCGGGCCUUGUUCACCGAAACUUGGUCUCCCCCUGUCGUUCUUUCUCUCACCUUCUGGCUGAAUUAUUCAGCCUCUUUUCUCCACUAAAUUUUCUCACUGAGCUAUCCUUAUUUAACCACUCUUUAUAUCCUUAAUUAACGUUUAAUUAAGCAAUUGUUUCCUGAUUCUCGCCGACGCCGUCCCCGCUUUGAAGUCCCUGGAUCCACCGGGGCUGGACCCCUGCAGGAUAGGUAUAUGAAAAGAUGCUCAGGCUCACUAAUCAUCAGGGAAG